rnacentral:rRNA from 1 species
CAUAGCCCUUAGAGUUUGAUCCUGGCUCAGGAUGAACGCUAGCUACAGGCUUAACACAUGCAAGUCGAGGGGCAGCGGUAUCGAAAGCUUGCUUUCGGUAGCCGGCGACCGGCGCACGGGUGAGUAACGCGUAUCGAACCUGCCUCAUACUCGGGAAUAGCCUUGCGAAAGUAAGAUUAAUGCCCGGUGUUUUCAGAGUCCCGCAUGAGGCUUUGAACAAAGAUUUAUCGGUAUGAGAUGGCGAUGCGUCCCAUUAGCUUGUUGGCGGGGUAACGGCCCACCAAGGCAUCGAUGGGUAGGGGUUCUGAGAGGAAGGUCCCCCACAUUGGAACUGAGACACGGUCCAAACUCCUACGGGAGGCAGCAGUGAGGAAUAUUGGUCAAUGGGCGGAAGCCUGAACCAGCCAAGUAGCGUGCAGGAAGACGGCCCUCCGGGUUGUAAACUGCUUUUAGUUGGGAAUAAAACGGGGCUCGUGAGCCCCCUUGCAUGUACCAUCAGAAAAAGGACCGGCUAAUUCCGUGCCAGCAGCCGCGGUAAUACGGAAGGUCCGGGCGUUAUCCGGAUUUAUUGGGUUUAAAGGGAGCGCAGGCGGACCUUUAAGUCAGCUGUGAAAUACGGCGGCUCAACCGUCGAACUGCAGUUGAUACUGGAGGUCUUGAGUGCACACAGGGAUGCUGGAAUUCAUGGUGUAGCGGUGAAAUGCUCAGAUAUCAUGAAGAACUCCGAUCGCGAAGGCAGGCAUCCGGGGUGCAACUGACGCUGAGGCUCGAAAGUGCGGGUAUCAAACAGGAUUAGAUACCCUGGUAGUCCGCACAGUAAACGAUGAAUACUCGCGGUUUGCGAUACAAUGUAAGCCGCCAAGCGAAAGCGUUAAGUAUUCCACCUGGGGAGUACGCCGGCAACGGU